rnacentral:rRNA from 1 species
UACGUAGGGUGCAAGCGUUAAUCGGAAUUACUGGGCGUAAAGCGUGCGUAGGCGGUUUUGUAAGUCUGUCGUGAAAUCCCCGGGCUUAACCUGGGAAUGGCGAUGGAGACUGCAAGGCUAGAGUUUGGCAGAGGGGGGUAGAAUUCCACGUGUAGCAGUGAAAUGCGUAGAGAUGUGGAGGAACACCGAUGGCGAAGGCAGCCCCCUGGGUCAAAACUGACGCUCAUGCACGAAAGCGUGGGGAGCAAACAGG